UCCAACGAGGAAAGGCUUACGGUGGAUCCUUAGGUACCUAGAGAUGAGGAAGGACGUAAUAAUCGACGAAAUGCUUGAGGGAGUUGAAAAAAAGCAUAGAUCCGGAGAUUCCCGAAUAGGUCAACCUUUCAGACUGCUGCUGAAUCAAUGGGCAGGCAAGAGAUAACCCGGUGAAUUGAAACAUCUUAGUAGCUAGAGGAAAAGAAAGCAAAAGCGAUUUUGGUAGUAGCAGCAAGCGAAAUAGGAGCAUCCUAAACUGUGAAAACGGGGGUAUGGGAGAGCAAUACAAGUAAGCGUCGUGCUGCUAGGCGAAGCGGGGGAAUAAUGCACCUUAGAUGAUUAGAGUCCAGUAGCCAAAAGCAUCACUAGCUUACGCUCCGGCCCGAGUAGCCUGGGGCAUGUGGAAUCUUGUGUAAAUCAGCAAGGACCACCUUCCAAGGCUAAAUACUCCUGGGGUGAUUGAUAGCGAAGUAGUACCGUGAAGAAAGGGUGAAAAGAACCCCCAACGGGGGGUGAAAAGAACCUCCAACGGGGAGUGAAAUUUAGAAUAUGAAAUCGUAAGAUCUCAACUAGUAGGAGGAGCGAAGGGACUCUGACCGCGUGCCUGUUAAAGAAUGACCCGGCGACUCAUAGGCAGUGGCUUAGUUAAGGGAACCCACCGGAGCCGUAGCGAAAGCGAGUCUUCAUAGGGCAAUAGUCAUUGCUUAUGGAACUGAACCUGGGUGAUCUAUCCAUGACUAGGAUGAAGCUUGGAUGAAACUAAGUGGAGGUCUGAACCGAUUGAUGUUGAAGAAUCAGCGGAUGAGUUGUGGUUAGGGGUGAAAUGCCACUUGAACCUAGAGCUAGCUGGUUCUCCCUGAAAUGCAUUGAGGCGCAGCAGUUGACUGGACAUUUAGGGGUAUAGCAUUGUUUCGGUGCGGGCCGUAGCAAUGGUACCAAAUCGAGGCAAACUCUAAAUACUAGAUAUGACCUCCUAAUAACAGGGGUCAAGGCCGGCCAGUAAAACGAUGGGGGAUAAGCCUCAUCGUCGAGAGGGAAACAACUCGGAUCACCAGCGUAGGCCCCUAAAUGACAGCUUAGUGAUAAAGGAGGUAGGAGUGCAGAGACAGCCAGGAGGUUUGCCUAGAAGCAGCCACCCUUGAAAGAGUGCGUAGUAUCUUACUAAUCGAGCACUCUUACAUCGAAGAUGAAUGGGGCUAAACUAUCUGUCAAAGCUGUGGGAUGUAAAAAACAUCGAUAGGGGAGUGUUCUGUCUUAAAGGGAGGAUUCGACACGAGCUAUAAUAAGAUGAAGCGGAAAUGAAAAUGUCAGCUUGGGUAACGCAAACAUUGGUGAGAAUCCAAUGUCCCGAAAAAAUAAGGGUUCUGCCACAAGGUUCAUCCAUGGAGGGUGACUCAAGGCUUAAGAUCAAGCCGAAAGAUGUGGUUGAUGGACAACAGGUGAAUAUUCCUGUACUACCCCCUUGUUGGUCCCAAACAGAGAUGGCGAGGUUAGCCGAAAGAUGGUUAUUGGUUCAAGGACACAAGGUGACCCUCCCUGUUUUUCAGGGUAGGUAAGAAGGGAUAGAGAAAAUGCCCCCNNNNNNNNNNNNNNNNNNNGGCGCCUACGGCGCUGAAGUAGCCCAUGCCAUACUCCCAAGAAAAGCUCGAACGACCUUCAACAAAGGGGUACCUGUAUCAAAAACUGACACAGAUAGGUAGGUAGAGAAUACCUAGGGGCGCAAGACAACUCUCUCUAAGGAACUCGACAAAAUAGCCCUGCAACUUUGAGAGAAGGGGUGCCCCCUUAGGGGGCAAAGUGACCAAGCUCGGGCGACUGUUCACCAAAAACACAGGUUUUUGCAAAGUCGUAAGCCCAUGUAUCGGGGCUGACGCUUGCCCAGUGCUGGUGACCACCUGAUGACAGGGGAAGGGCCAGCGACCGAAGCUCCGGUGAACGGUGGCUGUAGCUAUAAUGGUCCUAAGAUAGCAAAAUUCAUUGUCUGGUAAGUUUUGACCCAUACAAAAGGCAUACCGACUUGGGCACUGUCUUGGAGAGAGGCUCGGUGAAAUAGACAUGUCUAUGAAGAUGUGGACCACCAACACCCGGACAAAAAGACCCUAUAAAGCUUCACUGUUUCUUGGGAUUGACUUUAAGUCAUUCCUGCGCAGCUUAGGUGGAAGGCGAAGAAAGAAGAAAAGGCCCCCUUUCGGGGGGGCUCGAGCUAUCAGUGAGACAGCACUCUGGGUACACACACACACACAAACACAAACACAUAUAUUCAAUCAUAUAUAUAUAUAU
rnacentral:rRNA from 1 species